UCUCUUUGGGAUCAGGAAGAAAAGGGAGUAAAAUCCCUCCCAUCUCUGCACCCACAGGGCAAUGGCCCCUUUGGCUAAAAGCUCCUCACUUUUAUUUAUUUAUUUUUACAUUUAUAUCCCGCUCUUCCUCCAAGGAGCCCAGAGCGGUGUACUACAUACUUGAGUUUCUCUUUCACAACCACCCUGUGAAGUAGGUUAGGCUGAGAGAGAAGUGACUGGCCCAGAGUCACCCAGCUAGUUUCAUGGCUGAAUGGGGAUUUGAACUCGGGUCUCCCCGGUCCUAGUCCAGCACUCUAACCACUACACCACACUGGCUCUCCUCCAAUAAUAAUUCACACUUCCUCCAAUAAUGCUUGGGAGGGUUGAGUGAACCUCAUCCCUGUAAAUCUUGUUCUGAACUCUAUGGCAUAGCCUGAAAAUACGAUCUUUGGGACCCAGCAGUCCAAUGUUAUGUGAUGCCAUGAAGGAGCACGGUGUGCCAGCUCGAUGUUGGUCUCUGGUAGGAGAAUAGAGUUCGUGAGACUGGUGUUGUCCUUCACUUGCCAAGAUGUUGUGGCCCCCUGUGGCGGGAAAAGGGAGGAGUGUAGUGGUGACAGUGGGUGGAUCUGAACCUCAAAGACGUUUCUGAGGCUCAGUCUGUUCCCCUUGCCUUGAAAAGGGUGUUUGUAGUAAGGUUGGUACUGCUUUCACUCCUGCUGCCUGAAUGUGGACUUCUGUUUUGAAUAAGGAUGGUAUUUGGAGCCAUAGGAAGAGGUAGAUGUUGAUGCGGUGAACGUUUUGGUGGUGAAUUUAGAUUUUUUCAUUUUCUCCAUCGUGGAGUCGGUGUCCUCACUGAAAAGGCCCUUACCAUUGAACGGUAAGCCCUCAAUUAUCUCUUUCAUAUCGCCCUGCAGGUUGGUGCAGCAAAGCCAGGCAUGCCUCCGCAGGGAAACUGAGCUGCCAAGGAGUGCGAUUCAGACUCGGCCAGGUAUUUGGCAGUGCUCAACUUCUGACGGGAGUAGCAUGCCGGUGACCAGACUUAGAGGACGAUGAAGUAGCACAGUUGAUGACUAGGGAGUUAGGCGCAGGAAAGCUAACAUCUGGUAACAUCCAAAUUGGACUACUGCAAUGCGCUCUACAUGGGGCUGGCCUUGAAGACUGUUCGGAAGCUUCAGCUGGUUCAGAAUGCUCCCGCAAGGAUGCUCGUGGGUGGGAGACGUGGGUUGUAGGAGGCACUGCAACUGGAGGAUCCACUCUGUUGUCUGGGUCAUCUGAAUUGGACUCGAAGUCAGAAGAGCCACGGUGAUCAAAAGAUACUCAUAAAGAAGAACUUUAACUGACGAGGAGCAACAGCCCGAGGAUUGAACACAACAGCGGUUAGAGAAGAACUGAAGAACAGGUGCUCGGCCCGCCCUUAAAUAGCACACUGAAGGUGUGGGGGUGAGAUUUGGUCACCUUGACGAGAUGCAGCAUUCUACCAUGAGGAUCCUGUGCAGGUGCAUUACCCCCAUUCUUAUGGACGACGACGGAUCUCAAUCCAGAUCUGCAUGUUAUUUGCUUGAGUAGGAUGGUUCAAAAUCGCAGCCAAGAACCAAAAGCUGAAUGUGUCACAGUUAUUUGGCCCAGAAAAUCUCAGAUGAUAUUAGUAGAGAGGGACAGCUAAUAUUUUGCUGUCCAUUCCCAACCUGUGGAGAGAUACUGGUGGAGGUGGUGGGUCAAGUAAAAGAUUGGAUAACUAUUUUUGAUCACCCCUUUCCUAUGAAGUCAGAUACUAGACAUGUCUCACAGACUUCCAGCAGCUGCAAAGAUUAUUGCCAAUUUGACAAUUGUAUAUUUACAUGACUUGCUUGCAGAGAGGCAAACAGA